GACGAACGCUGGCGGCGUGCUUAACACAUGCAAGUCGAACGGAAAGGCCCUGCUUUUGUGGGGUGCUCGAGUGGCGAACGGGUGAGUAACACGUGAGUAACCUGCCCUUUACUUUGGUAUAACUUCAGAAAACUGUUGCUAAUACCUGAUAGCAGCUCCUGCUGCCUGGUGGGGGUUGGACAGUUUCGGCGGUUGGGGAUGGACUCGCGGCUUACCAGCUUGUUGGUUGGGUAGUGGCUUACCAAGGCUUUGACGGGUAGCCGGCCUGAGAGGGUGACCGGCCACAAUGGGACUGAGAUAAGGCGCAGACUCGUACGGGAGGCAGAAGUGGGGAAUAUUGAACAAGAGGCGGAAGCCUGAUGCAGAAACGCCGCGUGCGGGAUGACGGCCUGCGGGUUGUAAACCGCUUUCGCCUGUGACGAAGCGUGAGUGAAGGUAAUGGGUAAAGAAGCACCGGCUAACUACGUG
rnacentral:rRNA from 1 species